rnacentral:lncRNA from 1 species
UUUUUCCCUUCUCCAAUUUGAAAAUAAAUUAAAGCCAAACAAGGGAGGAGAGAUGACAAGAUUCUCAUUUAUUUGUUUACCCUUUAUUCCCUCUACCAACUACUUUUUGACUAUUUAGUGGUAAGCCAGAGAAAUAAAGUAGUAAAUACAAAGCAGUGAGGAAAACUUAUAACAACCUUAUCCACUUGGAUAUCAUGUAAGCCUGUAAUCAUUUAAAUUAGCCAGUGGGAGAAAAACUUAAGAAAGAAGUGAGCUGUUCUUAGAUUUGAUAUCGGAGUAGGUGUCAACUGCUGGAUGAAGGAGAAGAAAGGGCAUUCUAGUUGUGUAAAUAGCCUGUAUAAAGGCCAAUGAGUAAGAAACAGCAAAUAUUGAAGCAAAACUGGAGAGAAUGGUGCAUGGAGGUGAUGAGACCAGAAUAGAGUCUGUCCAGCAAGGGACAGGGGAAUAUGGUAGUGGGCAUGGAAGCCAGGACACCCUCACCCCUGGCUGCACAGCAUCUUCAUAGUGUGGGCAAAACCUGCAGAGGUGGGGCUCCUUUGCUGCAACAGCCCCAAGUCCUUCCGCUCUUUUCUUCCACAUUCAGCCAAAGGAUUUCUUGGGAAAAAAUUCUUGGGAUUCAAAGCCAACCAGUCUAUGGUACCAUGUUGUAGGGCUCUACCCUCGUGGCCUAAUUAUCUUUCAAAGGUCCCACUUCUAAAUACCAUCGCGCUGAGGAUGAGAUUUCAACAAGGGAAUUUUGGGGGAACACCAACAUUCAGUCGAUAACAGAGAGGAUAUUCCAGAAAAUAGAGAAGGAGAAAAUACUUCCAACUCACUUCAUAAGAUCAGUAUAACUCUGAUACAAAACCCCCAAAAAGACACUAAAAAUAAUAAGAAAUAAUAUAUAUCGGUAA